GACGAACGCUGGCGGCGUGCUUAACACAUGCAAGUCGAACGGAAAGGCCCCUUUGGGGGUACUCGAGUGGCGAACGGGUGAGUAACACGUGAGUAACCUGCCCUUGACUUCGGGAUAACUUCAGGAAACUGGGGCUAAUACCGGAUAGGAAUCCUUGCUGCAUGGUGGGGGUUGGAAAGCUUCGGCGGUUUUGGAUGGACUCGCGGCUUAUCAGCUUGUUGGUGGGGUAGUGGCUUACCAAGGCUUUGACGGGUAGCCGGCCUGAGAGGGCGACCGGCCACAUUGGGACUGAGGGACGGCCCAGACACCGACGGGAGGCAGCAGUGGGGAAUAUUGCACGAGGGGCGGAAGCCGGAUGCAGCAACGCCGCGGGCGGGAUGACGGCCUUCGGGUUGUAAACCGCUUUCAGCAGGGGCGAAGCUUGUGGUGACGGUACCUGCAGAAGAAGCACCGGCUAACUACGUG
rnacentral:rRNA from 1 species